rnacentral:rRNA from 1 species
CCUACGGGAGGCAGCAGUGGGGAAUCUUAGACAAUGGGCGCAAGCCUGAUCUAGCCAUGCCGCGUGAGUGAUGAAGGUCUUAGGAUCGUAAAGCUCUUUCGCCAGGGAUGAUAAUGACAGUACCUGGUAAAGAAACCCCGGCUAACUCCGUGCCAGCAGCCGCGGUAAUACGGAGGGGGUUAGCGUUGUUCGGAAUUACUGGGCGUAAAGCGCGCGUAGGCGGAUUGGAAAGUUGGGGGUGAAAUCCCGGGGCUCAACCCCGGAACUGCCUCCAAAACUCCCAGUCUUGAGUUCGAGAGAGGUGAGUGGAAUUCCGAGUGUAGAGGUGAAAUUCGUAGAUAUUCGGAGGAACACCAGUGGCGAAGGCGGCUCACUGGCUCGAUACUGACGCUGAGGUGCGAAAGUGUGGGGAGCAAACAGGAUUAGAUACCCUGGUAGUCCACACCGUAAACGAUGAAUGCCAGUCGUCGGCAAGCAUGCUUGUCGGUGACACACCUAACGGAUAAGCAUUCCG